rnacentral:rRNA from 1 species
GCCGGCCUGAAAGGGUGUCCGGCCACACUGGGACUGAGAUACGGCCCAGACUCCUACGGGAGGCAGCAGUCGAGAAGCUUCGGCAAUGGGCGAAAGCCUGACCGAGCGACGCCGCGUGAGCGAUGAAGGUCCUAUGGAUUUGUAAAGCUCUGUCCGAUUGGGAAGAAAACUUCGCGAUUAAUACCCGCGAAGCUUGACGGUACCAUCAGAGGAAGCACCGGCUAACUCCGUGCCAGCAGCCGCGGUAAUACGGAGGGUGCGAGCGUUGUUCGGAUUCACUGGGUAUAAAGGGUGCGUAAGCGGCCUCGUAAGUCAGGGGUGAAAUAUGACGGCUCAAACGUCAAACUGCCCCUGAAACUGCAAGGCUUGAGUCCGGGAGAGGAAGGUGGAAUUCCUGGUGUAGCGGUGAAAUGCGUAAAUAUCAGGAGGAACACCGGUGGCGAAGGCGGCCUUCUGGUCCGGUACUGACGCUGAGGCACGAAAGCUAGGGGAGCGAACAGGAUUAGAUACCCUGGUAGUCCUAGCCGUAAACGAUGGGCACUAGGUGUCGGAGGAGUCUACCCCCUUCGGUGCCGCAGCUAAUGCAUUAAGUGCCCCACCUGGGGAGUACGAUCGCAAGGUUGAAACUCAAAGGAAUUGACGGGGGCCCGCACAAGCGGUGGAGCAUGUGGUUUAAUUCGAUGCAACGCGAAGAACCUUACCUGGGCUUGACAUGCAGGGGACAGGUGCAGAAAUGUACCCUUCUUCGGACCCCUGUGCAGGUGCUGCAUGGCUGUCGUCAGCUCGUGUCGUGAAAUGUUGGGUUAAGUCCCGCAACGAGCGCAACCCCUGUCUUCAGUUGCCAUCAGUUCGGCUGGGGACUCUGGAGAGACUGCCGGUGACAAACCGGAGGAAGGUGGGGACGACGUCAAGUCAUCAUGGCCCUUACGCCCAGGGCUACACACGUGCUACAAUGGUCGGUACAAUGGGCAGCAAUACCGUGAGGUGGAGCGAAUCCCAAAAAGCCGGCCUCAGUUCGGAUUGGAGUCUGCAACUCGACUCCAUGAAGUCGGAAUCGCUAGUAAUGGCGUAUCAGCAUGACGCGGUGAUACGUUCCCGGGCCUUGUACACACCGCCCGUCAAGUCAACCGAGUUGGCUGCACCCCAAGUCGCUGAGCUAACCCGUAAGGGAGGCAG